CGCCGCCCAAGACCCCGCUGACUCUGACUUGGCUUCUCAGUUCGCCGGUUGGGGCAGCGACCAACGGCCUUCCCACCGCGCCUGCUCAGCGCGCCGGAAGCGCUCCUCCGCUGGGGAAGGCGGCGUAGGUGCGCGAGGGUUGUUCCCAUUUUGUGGACUCCCAGUUCUGUGACCCUGUGCCCAUACAGCAAUCCCCCGGACUGCAGGCAUCCUGUAAGUUGAAACUGAGGCUCCGAGAGGACAAGUGACUUACCCAAGGUCACAAGCGUGAGAUGAUAAGAACUGAACCACAUCUCCUGACUCCAGAGUCCAGCUGUUUCCCACCUUCCUGUACUGCCUGCUAGACUCUACAUGUCAGCAUCAGACCAGGCCCGUUCCUGCAGCUGCCACUUCACAAGACUAUGGAGUCUGCUGGGAAUUCCCAGCUCCCUGCUCAGGGCCUGCCUGCUUGUCACCGCUUCCUGCC